rnacentral:lncRNA from 1 species
GUUAAUUAUUAAACAUGUAACGUUUUUAUUAUUUUUUAACUGUUAAAUUUAAUUAGGUAUUGGCUAUCUAUAUAUCUGUAUAAAUUUAUAAAUUUUCAUGUCCUUAAGCUGAUGUGGCCCAACCCCUUUAAGGCUUAGUUUGGUAUUUAGGUCCAUCUAAUGCUAUCUAUCUAUUACUAUAUACUAAAGUAGAACCCUUAAUGAACCCUAUGUGAGAAGCUGACACGUGGCGCUCUAUAUGCUUGCCACGUGUCAAGCUUAAAUAUAGAUUUUCUACUUUAGAAAAAAUAAAAUUAGACUUUUUAAGUAAAUAAUAUCUUUUACUAUAUAAAAAAUCACCUAUAAUGAAAGAAAUUUUAUUUAAAAGUCACCUAUAAUUAUGUUGUGCGGAUAUUACUACUUUAGGAAAUCUAUUCUAUUUGGUAAGUGGAUUAAUGAAAUAUUUGAAAAAUUCACGGAUAUUACGUUGCGAAAAAAUUGGCGUGUACGGAUACUACGCAUGAGAAGAAAAAUAUUUAUCUUUAUUUGAGAAUAAAUUAUUACUUAAUUAAUUAUUUGAAAUUAUUGGUUGAAAAGUAGUGGGCAUAAAAAUAUUAGUAAGAAAGGAUAGAAAAAAUUCACGGAUAUUACGUUGCGAAAAAAUUGGCGUGUACGGAUACUACGCAUGAGAAGAAAAAUAUUUAUCUUUAUUUGAGAAUAAAUUAUUACUUAAUUAAUUAUUUGAAAUUAUUGGUUGAAAAGUAGUGGGCAUAAAAAUAUUAGUAAGAAAGGAUAGAAAAAAUUCACGGAUAUUACGUUGCGAAAAAAUUGGCGUGUACGGAUACUACGCAUGAGAAGAAAAAUAUUUAUCUUUAUUUGAGAAUAAAUUAUUACUUAAUUAAUUAUUUGAAAUUNUCUCAUUAUAUACUUAAAUAUUAAUGUCAUUUGUAAUUUUUCAUAUCAAUUUUAGUUAUCAUUUUGUUUUGCACACCAAUAUGUAAAUGUAAAUUAUUUUGCACACCAAUUCAUAGAUAAUAGAGCAGGAUUGAAUUUUGCAUUUUAGUUGGAUAUUUACUUUGGUCCAAAUUUUUUUUUUCUCUAGCUUGUGUAUUUUAAUAUGUACUAUAAUUAAGAUUGAUAGUAUAUUUUUUAUUUAUUAAAAAAAAUAAAAUUAAUUAAAAAAUCUUUUUAUUAUCAUCACAUAAUAAUUUUUAUUAUUCUAUAUUAUUAUAUUAGCCGUGCAUCGCACGGGUAAAAAUCUAGUUAGAUAAAAUGGAGGUAGGAAAAAGCAUAUAGGGAUAUGCUUCUGCGUUUUUCAGUGGGAACGUAGAAAAUAUAUCAUAACCGACUCAUCAUAAUAUGCGGAAUGCAAUAUUAUGUACGGAAACAAACAGGGUAUUUUCUCAUCGUACUUUCUCACCACACGUAACGCAAUCUCUCCGCAAUCCCAAACGAAGCAUAAUUUGGAGAUGUGGGUCCCAUCAAUUUUUUUAUUUUUAAAAAAUUAAUUGAUUUUUUUUUUCAUUAAUUUUUUCUAAGGAUGGAUAGUCAUCCCUUUAAUUUGGGGAUGUGGCCCCACUACCCCUUAAAUUAAGGGUAUAGGCCCCACCAAUUUUUUAUUUUUUUAAAAUUAAUUAGAUUUUUUUAAAAAAAUUUUCUGAUUAAUUUGGGGAUGCCCACUUAAAAAAUGGGCAAUCAUCUCUCCUUAAUUGAGGGUGUUGGAUUGUUAUUUUUUUAAUUCAGGGAUAUAAGCCCUACCAAGAAGAUGAACCAUCUGUUAGGUCCUAUGUGUUGGCAAGUUUCGUGGGUCGUGUCGGAGUCUUGAAGAAGUUCGGAGCGGAGUAUUGAAAAUCGAAGAAUCCAAGACUUC